UGUUGACUCAUAGUGCACUCGCUGUGGAUUCCUACGUGUAAGUCUAGGAGAAUAAGGAGUGGAAAGUUGCUGUGAGGUUUACCUAAGAGGGCUUCCUAGAGGAGACUGGAAACUUCCUGUGUAGAAUGUGCACUGGAGACAGGGAUGGGAGAUAAGUCUGGAAAACUGGAAAGAAAAAUGUAGCUGCUGAGAAGCAAAGCUUAGAGCAGAUUAUAAAUACUGGAAGCCUCACUCUUACCAUUGUCACAAUGCACUCCUCGCCAGCCAACAUCACAGUCACAGGAGCCAUCUCCCAAGGGUCCUUGGUUGCAUCUCCCAUGGACACAAGAACAUGCUAAGUGGAAAAACACCUGCAAAUCGUCAGAUUCUAACCCAUGUUCAAUAACUCAUUUGUCAUUUACUAGGUUUGCUUUAUUGCACUUAAUUCUCCAACCUACUUCUAGGAAUCAUAGUCUUUAACAGGGGUCUUGAAUCACAAAAAGGGCAGGGGUGCAGGAGACAGAAUCUAGCAAGUUCACAGGUGAACAAGCUCUAGCUUCAAUGAAGUGGCUCAGACUGCAGUUUUGAGACAGUGUAGCACUGAAGAUCUGUGACCCAAGCAGUGUGAGAGUGUCCUCAGUCAAGGUUACCUGAGGAUCCAGGGUUAUGCAGGACUCCUUUGAUUGGAACCACUUUUGCCCCUUAAUAAUGGACUUCAGGAAGAAGCCCAUUUGACACUGGGUUUGUAUAAGCCUGGUGUGGCACUGCUUCCUCAAUUACACAGAUGAGUCUCUGAGAACUUGAUGAAAGCUACAGAUGCCUUCCCCAGAAAAAUGUAUUCAGCUUUAGCGGUUUGCUGAAUCCCAUGAGGGUCAUCUACAAAUCCCAUUUUAGGAACUCAUGCACAAAUGCAAGCAGAUAAUUACUCCAAAUAACACGGGAAAAAAUCAACACUGUAAUUCCAAGUGAAUAUUAUAUGGCCCAAUUAUAAUGAUUCAAUUGUACAUUAAUUUUGUCUAGCUUAGACCAGCUGAGGAGAAAACAGUGAUAGCCAAGUGAACUGUAUGGUUUUUAGUACUAGGUAGAAUAAUGCUUUGUUAGGAAACCCAAACUCUGGAGUCAACACUCUCACAGCUGUGUGUUCCUGGACACAAGGAAAUCUGGAUGUGAGAAUACAGAUGACUUGGCUCAAACAGAUCAUUGUUUUUGCAAAAACUACUUAAAGCAUGUGUCUUGCUGCUGGUGAAACAAUAGAGUGACCCUCAGGUAAAGAACAGCAUGAUCUAAAAGCAAGCUUUGGAGUCAAGAAAGGUGUACAUUCAGUUCUGAGUUCUGCAUCUCAUCAGGUGUACCCUUGGGGGAAGUCAUUCAACCUCUUUGCCUUACUACCCUUAUCUGUAAAAUGGGCAUAGCGAUACUCAAGUACCUAAGGUUCCUGUGUGGAUUAAAUGAAUAACAUAUGCAAAUCUGUUUUUCAAAGUAUCAAGCAAUGUCCACAAUGGAAAGUUUAGCCGUGAUGAUUAGUGUGCAUAGGCAAAUAUAAAAACGCAUUUGGGCUGGGAAUGUCAAUGAGCAAACUGGAAGUGAGUUGGUAGGUUCAAGUUAGAGACUGAAAAUGUUUGGGAACACUGCAAAUGCAAAUGACAACACAGAUGCUCUUAUAAUUCACAGUGAUAGUAGCAGGUGGGAUUCCAGCCCACUUGGGGAGACAGGCCAGCUAGAGAGCACGUGUGGGAUCACUCUUUCCCUGCAUAUUCCUGCUUGGUUUCAGCAGCCCAAGAUCCUCUGUGGAGAGGACGGUGCUCACCUUGGUCACAGUGGAUGCCGUACUUGCCCUCGGUGCAGGUCUCGCAGGCUGUGCCGCUGAAGCCCUCCCCACACUCACACACACCUGUGCCGUUCACUCCAUCCAAACAGAUGCCAUUACCAAAGCAGACGUUCUGGGCAUUCCCUGGGCAGGGCUGGCAUUGGGGGCCAAAGAAGCCGGCACAGCAUUCUCUCGUCUGAAACAGAAGGACAAAGCUUGACAACGCACUUCUAUCCUCUGGUGUUGUCCAGCCUCGGUGUAGAAAUCCUGCUGUGGGUGACUUCUUGUGCACCUGUUUCUUUGAACUCACAUGGAGUGGGUGAGGGGUGGGGGCAGGACCCUCUGGGGACUGGGUGAGGCUUGGCAAUUUCUAGGGGUGCUAGGAACAGGACCAAGGGCUCCAGUAAGGAGGUAGGAAAGAGGGAAAGGAAAAAGGCAUGUCAGAGAAGAGGAUGAAGAAAAAUGAGAAAGGAGGAGGGGCAGCAGAAGAAACUAAAGAAUAAUGCCUGUGAUGCUGGAGACUGGGAGGACCAAGGGGCCGUCUCCAACCCAGAUCUGGGCCCCUUCACAUCGAUGUUAUUUCGUCUACUACUGAAGAGCUGUUCUGAGCUUUACUGCUACCACUACUACAUUGGAUGACAAUGAUAAUGCAAGUAACAAGGAAGAGGAGAUGGCAGAAAGCAUACAUGCACAGGGAUUUUGAAAAGGAUACCAUAGGAUGGAUUUUCCCAAUGGUGCUGCAGUAGUUAGUAUGAUUCAAUUAUUGUACUCACAAUGACGGUUCUCACACAUUUUGGCUGGCACCCAAUAAACAGGGUUCGUCUUCCCAUGAAAUAAGAGGUAUAGAUGCAUCUCAUCUUCUCAUUACCCUGUGAAAUAUUAAUGACUGCGUCAGCUCCUAAGUUAGGAAAAAGUUUUCCAAUCUCCGAAAGCAAGUAGGUGGGUGAUGCAUUGCUGUCUCUCUGACUAAAGUGUUCUGGGAAGGGAAGGUGGUGGCUUGUUGGCAUUGCUUCUUAAGCAAGAAAACAUGAAAACACAAUGUUGGUUGCCGGAAUGCCAGGUGGCAAAAUCCAAUAAUUAUACUUUAAAGUAGUACUCCAUGAAAAGAACAUUUCUUUAGAAUACCAACUUAAGUUUGCAAGAAUUGUAGAGUAAACCAGGUAAAAAUGUCCUUCCAGCACCGUACAUGGACUCAACUGAACUUUGGUUUCUAUUGAUUUAUAGUCUGCUUUGGUCCAGGAAAGGACUAAGGCUGCAUACAAAGAUUACAAUAUACAAGAUUAAAUUAAACCU